rnacentral:rRNA from 1 species
GGGGUAAUGGCCUACCAGGCGACGACGGGUAGCCGACCUGAGAGGGUGACCGGCCCACUGGGACUGAGACACGGCCCAGACUCCUACGGGAGGCAGCAGUGGGGAAUAUUGCACAAUGGGCGGAAGCCUGAUGCAGCGACGCCGCGUGGGGGAUGACGGCCUUCGGGUUGUAAACUCCUUUCGACCGCGAGGAAGCCGCCUGGUUGGAAGGGUGGUGACGGUAGUGGCAGAAGAAGCACCGGCUAACUACGUGCCAGCAGCCGCGGUAAUACGUAGGGUGCAAGCGUUAUCCGGAAUUAUUGGGCGUAAAGAGCUCGUAGGUGGUUUGUCGCGUCUGCUGUGAAAACUGGGGGCUCAACCCCCAGCCUGCAGUGGGUACGGGCAGACUAGAGUGCGGUAGGGGAGAUUGGAAUUCCUGGUGUAGCGGUGGAAUGCGCAGAUAUCAGGAGGAACACCGAUGGCGAAGGCAGAUCUCUGGGCCGUAACUGACGCUGAGGAGCGAAAGCAUGGGGAGCGAACAGGAUUAGAUACCCUGGUAGUCCAUGCCGU